UUAGCGCAAACUUAACCUUGUUAACUCUAAUUUUACAAAUAAAUCUUAUAUUUUUAGUCUUUUCCUCAUUUGUCAAUUCUAAGUUUAAGCAUUCUAUUUGGUUUUCAUUAAACAAUUUAUUAAAGUAACUUCGCCAUUUUUCUUUUAUGUUGUCUUCCUUAACCAAGACAAUAUUAUCCUCACUUUUUAUAUAUUUUACAUUGCCUAAGUCCUCAUUCUUUCUUUCUCUAGCUCUAGCAAGUUUAAAAACAUCUCUUUCCCCUUCUUUUAUAUCUAACCUAUCAUACAAAUUAUUAAAUGAUCUAUGUUUAACUUCACUAAUGGCUUUUUUUUUGCAUCUUUUCUUGCCUCUUUAUACUUUUCAAAGUUAUCCAUGUGUCUACAUUUUUGCCACAUUUUAUAUCACAUUCUUUUUGUCUUUUCGGCUUUUUGGACAUCUUUAUCCCACGACCAAUUUUCUUUGCUACUCGAGAAUCUUCCCUUUUAUUCAUCUAAAAUCUCUUUUGCUAUAUUUUUAAUAGAGUUAGCUAUCCUACUCCAAAGAGUAUUUGUAUUUAUCCCAUCAUCUAUAGUCCAAUCACCAUCUUUGAUCAUUUUAUCUAUAAAGUUUAUUAUAUUUUCUCCCUUUAGGUUCCAUCACCUAGUUCUCUCACACUAGUUUAUUUUAUCCUUUCUCUUCCAUUUUUUAAUGCAUAUAUCUAACACUAAGAUUCUAUGUUGUAUACUUAAGCUUUCACCUGGAAUAACUUUACAAUCCUUGCAUGAUAACAAUCUACCCUCCUAGUUAAGAAAAAAUCUAUUUGACUUUUAUUUUGUCCACUUUUAAAGGUUAUUAAGUGUUCUUCUCUCAUCUUAAAACAAUUAUUCAUUGUAAUAAAAUCAUAUGACAUAACAAAGUCUAAGAUCAUCUCCCCAGGAUCAUUUUUGUCUCCAUAUCCAUAUCCUCCAUGCAUCCUCUCAUAAGGUUCCCUUCCAACGUGUCCAUUCAAGUCUUCUCCUAUGAAUAUUUUCUUAGUUCUUGAUAUGCCUUGUAUAAUACUAUCCAUAUCUUCCCAAAAUUGUUUUUUAUGAUGUUCUGCUAGGCCUACUUAAGGAGCAUAAGCACUAAUGAUAUUUAUUAUCUCUUGGCCUAAGACCGCCUUGAUUUUUAUAAUUCUAUUCCCUACUCUAUUUACAUCUACAACGCCAUCUUUUAAAUUUUUGCCUACAAUAACUCUUACCACAUUCUUAUGUUUUUCUUUUCUAGUGUACUAAAGUUUAAGUCCUGAUUUAUCAAUUUCCCUAACUUUCUCCCCUACCCACUUAGUUUUUUGAAAGCAAAUUAUAUUAAUUUUUCUUUUAAUCAUUGUGUCUACAAUUUUCAUGCUUUUACUCGUAAUUGCCCCUAUAUUCCAAGUUGUUGAUCUAAUCCUAGUCUCUUGAACUAGCUUUUUUUACUGGCCCAUGUCCAAAAAAAUGCAGGAAACCUCGCAUAUUUGACACCUUACUUGGGCACUGACGUGGCGUGUCACUUUGUGGUGAUGACCUAGCCCACCCACGCCUACUUUUUGCUACACCUGGGUGGUACAAGUGCAACGCAUUGCUCGUAGGGGACACCGUAACAAAUAUUCGCUAAGGAUUCAUGUCAUAGUGAUCUGACAAAUUUCACGCUGGCUGUUAGCUACCUAAUACAACCUUCCUCCUUUACUCGGGCUUGGGACCGGCUCUGUGAAAAUAUUAGGACAUUAAUUGCAUCAUAGGCGGAGUUUUAAUUCUUAAGAUAUUUGAGAUAGAAAAUUCAGUGGAUAAUUUAUUUGGUUCUUAUUUUAUUUUCCUUUCCUUUUGCAAAAUCCUUGAUCGAAACAGUGUAAAAGUAUUCUUACUUGCUAAUUAAGAUUUUUUUUUUCUCUAGUUUGCAUUUCAAUCUACAUUGCCUCUUUAUUUUAUUUUUACCUCAGCAUAUUUGCUUGAUUAACUAUGGAACACUAAAUAGAUUUCAUGGAAGGAAGACAAUUGUUUUAUUUGCCUUCAAAUUAUAUGCUAGCUAACGGACCCCAAUAAUAAACUCUUUUACAUUUUUAUUCAAGUGUUACAUUUCAAAAUUUCUUGUUGUAUUACAAUUCAAAGUUUUGUGAUAUGAUCUGAGCCUCUGUUCGAUGAUAUGGUGGAAUACGGGUGCAAGAGAAGUUCAAGGUUUAUCUCAGCAAAGAGAGAAAGCUUUGCGUGGGAUUUGGGGCGGAGCAUGUGGUCUUCUGCCUGAGCAGCACUGUUGCUUUCCCUGUACAAGUGAGUACUGUUGGGCUGAGCGGAAUGGCAUUCGGUCUGCAAUUCGCCUGCUCCCAGAUUUGAUUUCC